rnacentral:rRNA from 1 species
UACGUAGGGGGCAAGCGUUGUCCGGAAUCAUUGGGCGUAAAGCGCGUGUAGGCGGCUCGGUAAGUCCGCUCUGAAAGUCCGGGGCUCAACCCCGGGAGGCGGGUGGAUACUGUCGAGCUAGAGUCCGGAAGAGGCGAGUGGAAUUCCUGGUGUAGCGGUGAAAUGCGCAGAUAUCAGGAAGAACACCCGUGGCUAAGGCGGCUCUCUAGUACGGUACUGACGCUGAGACGCGAAAGCGUGGGGAGCAAACAGG